ACAUAUAGUCACAUACAGUGAAAUCUAAACUCAGGCUGGCUCAUGUUCAUCAUCAUCAUAACUCACUAAUAUCACGUUUGCAGUUUUAUAUGCUUGUAUGUAAACUAUGUUAAUCUGGCUGAAGAGUUUACUUCUAUUGGCUGCAGUUCUAGAGUGCAGCACACAAGAUUCUGUUAAUCAUCCAACAACAGUUCAAACAGCGUCUCCAGCAGUGGGUGGAGCUGAUUCACACUGAUGUUGACAGUGAGAUGAUGACUGAUGAACACUGAACUACUGCUUUUGCCAUCAUCAUCUCUCUGAGGACAACAUGUUUCCUUUUACCUGGAUAAUAAUCCAACUUUGCAUUGAAACAUCUUUGGCUGAUACAAUACAUCCAUUUACUUCAGAAAAACAUGUUUUUGAGGGUGAAAAUGUGACUCUCUCCUGUAACUACAGUGCAACUACUGGCAAUGUUAACUCUCUCCAGUGGUAUCGGCAGAAUCCUGGAGUAAAACCAGAGUUCCUACUUCUUGUUACUGAAUAUUCAAACAACUCUGAGCCUAAUCUUCGUCUGUUUUCAAAAGCUACAAAAAAAAUCAAGCGUGUGGAUCUGGAGAUCUCCUCUGCUGCAGUGUCAGACUCUGCUCUGUAUUACUGUGCUCUGCAGCCCACAGUCACAGGAAACACAAGAACACUGUACAAAAACCUGAUACACAAUAUCACAUCUUUACAGUACAUUAAACACAUUCGGCUCCCCUGUCUAUGGUGAGGAAGGAGGAGCUUAAUGUAUAUCUGAUGUAUUUUGCUGAACCUGAAGAGACUUUCAUCAGAUCAUUCAAGCUGAGACUGUAAGCACACAUACAAUGAUCCUCCAUUCAGUUAUUCUGUUCUCUGCUUUAGCAU